AUUGAACGCUGGCGGCAGGCCUAACACAUGCAAGUCGAACGGUAACAGAAAGCAGCUUGCUGCUUUGCUGACGAGUGGCGGACGGGUGAGUAAUGUCUGGGAAACUGCGUGAUGGAGGGGGAUAACUACUGGAAACGGUAGCUAAUACCGCAUAACGUCGCAAGACCAAAGAGGGGGACCUUCGGGCCUCUUGCCAUCGGAUGUGCCCAGAUGGGAUUAGCUAGUAGGUGGGGUAACGGCUCACCUAGGCGACGAUCCCUAGCUGGUCUGAGAGGAUGACCAGCCACACUGGAACUGAGACACGGUCCAGACUCCUACGGGAGGCAGCAGUGGGGAAUAUUGCACAAUGGGCGCAAGCCUGAUGCAGCCAUGCCGCGUGUAUGAAGAAGGCCUUCGGGUUGUAAAGUACUUUCAGCGGGGAGGAAGGGAGUAAAGUUAAUACCUUUGCUCAUUGACGUUACCCGCAGAAGAAGCACCGGCUAACUCCGUG
rnacentral:rRNA from 1 species